AAGAGAGAGAGAGAGAGGACGAGGAGACGAGACGAGACGAACAAGAAAAAAAUAAAGGAGAAAACUUUUUGGGCAUCGAUGAAAAAAAUGGAGAUCGGAGAAGAAUAUCCUCCUCCAUGACCCAUUGACCUUUCAGAAGAGUUGGGAAGUGAGGACUGAUGUGUUCUGGUGGAGAAGGAAAACAAUGGAGUUGUGGCAAAGCCGGUGUAGUCAGUUUACAGAAAGUUGGAUCUCUUGUUCGAGAUUUGAGCGAGCCUUGUCUUUCACAAUCGCGGAUACAGGUUGUUAUAACUAUCGGCAAAAUGCUUAAGCCUGAGAAGUGGCAAGCGUCUUUUGAUAGAAACGGAAGAGUUUCUGGUUUCCAAAAGGCGCUUAAACUAAUUAU